UAGAGUUUGAUCCUGGCUCAGAAUCAACGCUGGCGGCGCGCUUAACACAUGCAAGUCGCACGAGAAGGGGGCAACCUGAGUAAAGUGGCGCACGGGUGAGUAACACGUGGAUCAUCUACCUUUUAGUGGGGAAUACCCCCGGGAAACUGGGGACAAUACCGCAUAAUCUCGCAAGAGGAAAGCAGCAAUGCGCUGAAAGAGGAGUCCGCGGCCGAUUAGCUAGAUGGUAGGGUAAUGGCCUACCAUGGCAAAGAUCGGUAGCCGGCCUGAGAGGGCUCACGGCCACACUGGCACUGAAACACGGGCCAGACUCCUACGGGAGGCAGCAGUGGGGAAUCUUGCACAAUGGAGGAAACUCUGAUGCAGCGACGCCGCGUGAGUGAUGAAGCCCUUCGGGGUGUAAAGCUCUUUCGACAGGAACGAUAAUGAC
rnacentral:rRNA from 1 species